AGGAAUGUGGCUUAGUGGUAGAGUGCUUGCCUAGCAUGCAUGAAGCCCUGGGUUUAAUUCCUCAGUACUA
rfam:Dipodomys ordii contig_33656, whole genome shotgun sequence.